UACGGAGGGUGCGAGCGUUAUCCGGAAUUACUGGGGUUAAAGGGUGCGUAGGCGGCCGAGUAAGUCAGGGGUGAAAGUUUGCGGCUCAACCGUAAAAUUGCUUUUGAUACUGCUUAGCUAGAAUCAGGAUGAGGUCAGCGGAAUGUGGCAUGUAGCGGUGAAAUGCAUAGAUAUGCCAUAGAACACCAAUUGCGAAGGCAGCUGGCUAGACCUGUAUUGACGCUGAGGCACGAAAGCGUGGGGAGCGAACAGG
rnacentral:rRNA from 1 species